rnacentral:rRNA from 1 species
AUCAUACUGUGAAACUGCGAAUGGCUCAUUAAAUCAGUUAUCGUUUAUUUGAUAGUACCUUUACCUGGAUAACCGUGGUAAUUCUAGAGCUAAUACAUGCUAAAAACCCCGACUUCGGGAGGGGUGUAUUUAUUAGAUAAAAAACCAAUGCCCUCCGGGGCUCCUUGGUGAUUCAUAAUAACUUAACGAAUCGCAUGGCCUUGCGCCGGCGAUGGUUCAUUCAAAUUUCUGCCCUAUCAACUUUCGAUUGUAGGAUAGAGGCCUACAAUGGUCUUAACGGGUAACGGGGAAUUAGGGUUCUAUUCCGGAGAGGGAGCCUGAGAAACGGCUACCACAUCCAAGGAAGGCAGCAGGCGCGCAAAUUACCCAAUCCCGAUACGGGGAGGUAGUGACAAUAAAUACUGAUACGGGGCUCUUUCGGGUCUCGUAAUUGGAAUGAGUACAAUCUAAAUCCCUUAACGAGGAACAAUUGGAGGGCAAGUCUGGUGCCAGCAGCCGCGGUAAUUCCAGCUCCAAUAGCGUAUAUUAAAGUUGUUGCCGUUAAAAAGCUCGUAGUUGAACCUUGGCCCUGGCUGAUCUGUCCUCCUAAUCGAGCGCACGGAUUCGGUCGGGGCUUUCCUUCUGGGGAGCCCCAUGCCCUUUACUGGGUGUGGUGGGGAACCAGGACUUUUACCUUGAAAAAAUUAGAGUGUUCAAAGCAGGCCUUUGCUCGAAUACAUUAGCAUGGAAUAAUAGAAUAGGACAUCGGUUCUAUUUUGUUGGUUUCUAGGACCGCUGUAAUGAUUAAUAGGGACAGUCGGGGGCGUCAGUAUUCAAUUGUCAGAGGUGAAAUUCUUGGAUUUAUUGAAGACUAACUACUGCGAAAGCAUUCGCCAAGGAUGUUUUCAUUAAUCAGUGAACGAAAGUUAGGGGAUCGAAGACGAUCAGAUACCGUCGUAGUCUUAACCAUAAACUAUGCCGACUAGGGAUCGGACGGUGGUUUUUUUAUGCCCCGUUCGGCACCUUACGAGAAAUCAAAGUUUUUGGGCUCGGGGG